GUCGAGGUCGUUGUGAGAGGUCAGGAGGUCAUCGACAUAUGCGUAUUCCUCCUGCACACGUUUCUCUUCUUUGUAAUCGCUGAAUGAAGGCAAGUUGGCGGUCUCUCGCAACCAGCAGGUUUGUCUCCAAUGUUGACUCUUGUUAUGGCGAAAUCUUCUAUCUCAGCAUCUUCAGUGUCACGCCACAGAAACCGGUGCAGGUGGAACUCUCUUUCUUCCAGCUAGACAGAGUUGUACAUCUUGCGGAUGUCAUCAAGGGUAGCAAAGACGCCACCUCGGAAUCUCAGCAGGACCGCUCUGAUUGGAUUCAGGACGUCAGGACCUUUGAUCAGUAUGUCGUUCAAGCUCAGGCCUCUGUACUUCUGGCUGCUGUUCCAUACUAGCCUCACUGGAGUGGAGACUGAAUGUGGCUACCCUAUCACCCCAUCCCCCGUAGUCCGCAACCUGGGUGUCAUCCUUGACCCCACCCUGUCAUUUCAGCCUCAUAUCAACAACACCACAAAAUCUGCAUUCUUCCAUCUGAUAAACAUUGCAAGACUCCGACCCUCACUCUCAGACUCAGUCACUGAAACACUCAUCCACUGCUUCAUCUCCACCCGUCUGGACUAUUGUAAUUCCAUCCUCACAGGUCUCCCCUCCAAAACCUUGGACCGACUGCAAUAUGUUCAGAACUCAGCUGCCAGGGUUUUAACUGGCACUAAGCCCUGGCAGCAUAUCACCCCCAUCCUGAUGCAACUCCACUGGUUACCUGUUAAGUCCCGGAUCAAGUUUAAAAUCCUCCUACUCACCUACAAGUCCCUGCAUGCUCUGGCCCCCCGUUACCUCUCUGACCUCCUCCAUCCCUACACCCCCCUGCGGUCCCUCAGGUCCUCUGCUAAGGACCAGCUGGAAACCCCCCGCACCAGACUCAAGACCUUUGGGGACAGGGCCUUCUGCGCCUCUGCCCCCACUCUGUGGAAUCUGCUCCCCCUCCAUAUCCGCUGUGCCACUUCAGUGGAGUCCUUCAAAAAGCUCCUGAAGGCACACCUCUUCUUAGAGGCCUAUGGCCUUUAACCUGCCCCCCCCCCCCCCCCCCCCCUGUGUACACCUCUUGUAAAGCGACCUUGGGUACCUUGAAAGGCGCUAUAUAAAUUGAAUUUAUUAUUAUUAAUG
rnacentral:lncRNA from 1 species